rnacentral:rRNA from 1 species
UACGUAGGGGGCUAGCGUUGUCCGGAAUCAUUGGGCGUAAAGAGCGUGUAGGCGGCCCGGUAAGUCCGCUGUGAAAGUCGGGGGCUCAACCCUCGAAUGCCGGUGGAUACUGUCGGGCUAGAGUGCGGAAGAGGCGAGUGGAAUUCCUGGUGUAGCGGUGAAAUGCGCAGAUAUCAGGAGGAACACCGAUGGCGAAGGCAGGUCUCUGGGCAUUAACUGACGCUGAGGAGCGAAAGCAUGGGGAGCGAACAGG